rnacentral:rRNA from 1 species
AUCCCGAGAAUCCCCUGGAAACAGGGAGUGCCUUUCGGGGAACUCGGAGACAGGUGCUGCAUGGCUGUCGUCAGCUCGUGUCGUGAGAUGUUGGGCUAAGUCCCGCAACGAGCGCAACCCUUGUCUUUAAUUGCCAGCAUUCAGUUGGGCACUUUAAAGAGACUGCCGGUGUUAAGCCGGAGGAAGGUGGGAUGACGUCAAGUCCUCAUGGCCUUUAUGCCCAGGGCUACACACGUGCUACAAUGGGUGGUACAAAGAGAUGCCAACUCGCGAGAGCGCGCCAAAUCUACAGAAAGCCAUCCUCAGUUCGGAUUGGAGUCUGCAACUCGACUCCAUGAAGUUGGAAUCGCUAGUAAUCGCGGAUCAGCACGCCGCGGUGAAUACGUUCCCGGGCCUU